rnacentral:rRNA from 1 species
CAGCAGCCGCGGUAAUACGAAGGGGGCUAGCGUUGUUCGGAAUCACUGGGCGUAAAGGGCGCGUAGGCGGCCAUUCAAGUUAGAUGUGAAAGCCCUGGGCUCAACCUAGGAAUUGCAUUUGAUACUGGGGAUCUCGAGUCCGGGAGAGGUGAGUGGAACUGCGAGUGUAGAGGUGAAAUUCGUAGAUAUUCGCAAGAACACCAGUGGCGAAGGCGGCUCACUGGCCCGGUACUGACGCUGAGGUGCGAAAGCGUGGGGAUCAAACAGGAUUAGAUACCCCCGUAGUCCCUGUCUCUUAUAC